rfam:Oryza sativa Japonica Group DNA, chromosome 10, cultivar: Nipponbare, complete sequence.
CCCAAAAAAAGACCCUAAUUUCCGUGCCCAACGUUUGACCGUCUGUCUUAUUUGAAAAAAAUAUGAAAAAAAUUAAAAAAGACAAGUCACGUAUAAAAUAUUAAUCAUGUUUUAUCAUCUAACAACAAUGAAAAUACGAAUUAUAAAAAAAAUUCAUAUAAGAUGGACAAUCAAAAUUGGACACGGAAACAUAGGGUUUGCCUUUUU